AUUGAACGCUGGCGGCAGGCCUAACACAUGCAAGUCGAGCGGAUGAAGGGAGCUUGCUCCUGGAUUCAGCGGCGGACGGGUGAGUAAUGCCUAGGAAUCUGCCUGGUAGUGGGGGAUAACGUCCGGAAACGGGCGCUAAUACCGCAUACGUCCUGAGGGAGAAAGUGGGGGAUCUUCGGACCUCUCGCUAUCAGAUGAGCCUAGGUCGGAUUAGCUAGUUGGUGGGGUAAAGGCCUACCAAGGCGACGAUCCGUAACUGGUCUGAGAGGAUGAUCAGUCACACUGGAACUGAGACACGGUCCAGACUCCUACGGGAGGCAGCAGUGGGGAAUAUUGGACAAUGGGCGAAAGCCUGGUCCAGCCAUGCCGCGUGUGUGAAGAAGGUCUUCGGAUUGUAAAGCACUUUAAGUUGGGAGGAAGGGCAGUAAGUUAAUACCUUGCUGUUUUGACGGUACCAGCAGAAUAAGCACCGGCUAACUUCGUG
rnacentral:rRNA from 1 species